ACUCCCCAGUCCCAGACCAGCUCAGAGGCCAUUGGAGGCCAGCCACGAAACCCCUGAGGCUCCUUCGGUGCCGAUCCGACCCGAGCUGGCUCGUCCUGUCCAGGCUUCCCCGCCCAAACCCGGGUCCCAGUUCUCUGCGGAGCUCAUGGUUCACGGAACAGUGGCCGUCAGCCGCUUGGACCACCGCUGCGGCGACACCGUGUGGUCCCCAACGCGGGCUCUAGUGAGAAGAGCUCUCGGCCGCACUGCGGUUUUGCACCAAGGGAGACGGAAUGAGCCCGCGACAAAAACGCAAAAAGGAGUCUCUGGGGCUGGAUACGGAGACCCGGCACGCUCGGGAACCGGCACGCUCGGGAACCAGCACGCUCCGGGACCAUGGGUGACUGGCAGCCUGCCACUCCACAAACGCCGACGCCACUUCGGAGGUUAACUUCCAAGGAGUGACUUGCGACGACGCCAGGCAGAGAGCGAAGUGAGUAGUCAAAGAAAACUUACCCUGGACAAACCGGCUGCUGGCACCUCAGCUGCCGGGGUGGGAAGCGCCCUCUGCGGGAAUGAAGUCAUCCUACCCUUUUCUGGGUGCGCCCAGAUAACCGACCAGAGCUUUCCUUUCCCAAGCUCUGGGGCCCCGAGGUCUUCUAGCUACUACACCAGGUCCUCAGGUCCUGGGCUCCGACAUAAUUCUUCGCCUCCUUCUGCGAGCCUUGCAUAGGAAAAGAGAAGUACUAGUCCAAACCAGCCCAGUAUCCAGGACCCCAAACUGCGGCAGCCUAUUUCUUGGCUUUCUUGAUGGUACUUUGUCCAUUAAUGUAGUACACGAUUUAACACAACCCACAAACACUGAAAACAUCAAGGCUGGUCUCACGCUGAGAACACACAUUAGUUCAAAUGAAUAUUGAUUGGUACCCAGGUAAAA